rnacentral:rRNA from 1 species
AUACCAGGUGCUGUAAACAU